GCCGUACCUGCUGAGAGUUCAGACAAGUCUAGCAUGCCCAGAGAGCUGGUCGGUGGGAGGGUGGGAUAGAAAGAACUUGGGGACUGGACAUUGGCUUGACAUUUAAAGGCUGGUCAUUGAUCCUAAAGCAGGUGUGAGCAGAGUCACACCAGCUUGAUGUAGGGAUAGCAGAGGCCAGAGGGCUUACUGGGCACACAUGAGCAGAUUGACUGCCUGCCUCUCUGACCCUUGGACCAUUACCAACCGUCAGGGCUAGGAAGUGGGGCUAGGAUGUAAGCAGGUCACCUGGGGCUUUGUAGCUGCCUGUAGGGCGUUCUCACAGGGGGUGGAAGAGGACACCUGCUUGGAUUUGCCCUCUGCCCUUGGGACCCAGAAGCCGUCAUGGGUGAGUUGGGAUUCCAUCCUUUGCUGCCCUCAGACUGACACCUGGGUCCAUCAGCCCUGGGGCUGAGGCUGGCACUGUUGCUCUGGUCAGGAGAGUAAUGGGCUCUUUGUAGCAUUGUCACGAUGAGCACAGCCUCUCUGGGGUCUUCUUCUCAUGAACCCCAGAUUGUCCCCAAGUCAGUCCUGCUGGGGAGUGUGUGUUUGGGCUGGGGGGUAUUCCUGCCUUAGGGUGUUCCCUGAUCCCAGUGUACACUGGACAUUGGUAUGGCUGGAUGCCUGUCUUUGCCCAGUAGCCUGGCACACCUUCAAGGAGGCCUGAGAUCACAUGUGUCCAAAGCAGCCAGGGGUCAUGUAUUGGGGUUGGACCACAGUCAUAUCAGAAAUAUGAUAGCAUCAUUCAGAGGGAUCCUCAUAGGGAACUGUAGAUUCUGUUUGGUUUUUGUGACUGAUUGGUUUUUGCUAUGUUAAGAUCGCAACUACAGACUUUAAUUUUCUUGCCAGAUAUGACUAUAUAUAAUACUGUUUUGAUACCAGUUAAAAUAAAAUCCAUUACAAAAACAACAUAGAGUAUACGUUCUUAAGCAUCAUCUGAUCUAGACAGCCUUUCAAUGCCUAAGUUACUUUGUGUCAGGCAGUGCUCCGACAUUUUACAUGCUUUCUAUUAUUUAAUCUUAACCACAACACUAUGAACUAGGUACUAUUAUGUAAGAAUUCCCCAUUUUACAGCCAAGGAAAUGGAUGCCCAGAGGGUUACAGGACUAGCCCAAGGUCACAUAGCCAUGAAAUGUCUGUUUACCCACCCCCAGAGACUGAGAACUGCCCUUCCAUCAGCCCAUUCCACUGGGGGGGAGGCUCUAGUUUUUGAAAUGCGUUUCCUCACAUGGAACUAAACUUUGCUUCUCCCUGUCAAUCCCACUCCUGUUUCUGCUUAUCCUAGUAGCCCAUCAUGGUGGCUCCUGGUCUCCCAUUCUUCUGGCUCAGUUCUCUACCCCAUUUGUUCCUGGGGGCACUUCAAGUUCUUCCUCUAGGAAUCUCUGAACCAUUUUGUAUCAGCUAAGUCCUUGGAAGAAUCACUGCAGGUAGCUCUCCAAUUCUUUGUUUACUUUGACUCCAAAGGUUCUGGUAUCCAGUUUGUCUUACUCAAUUUUCUUAGAGACUGCAGGGGGAAUAUGGCCCACUUCUGUGUCCUGGGGGCAUGAAAGAAACGACUCAUGUCUGUCUUCCUUGUUGAAGGCUCUGGUGGAGCUGAAGCCUCUCUCCCUUCUACUGCCACCCAUGCCUCUUCCUGGAGCUCCCUCAGCCCCCUUUCCCCUGGAUCUCUUGGGCAAUGAGUUUCUUCAUCUGUUGAGUAAGGAGUGGACAGAGGUGGGGGCUGCAUCAUCCUCAUUCCUACAAGUCUCAAAUCUCAUCUUUCUUGCCCAUUUGUGGACCAGAUUCUCCUGGAGGACUCACAGCUCAUUGAAACCUCUUAAGAUCCCUAUCCUCAAAUUUUCAAGCUGUCCAGUUCCCAGGACCCUGUGAGGCCAAAUCUGUGGUCCUGUCUGCAGUUUGCAUGUCCCCUCUGGCCUGGCUUUCCCACGGCCUCUGUCUUGGCCCUUUUCUGGC
rnacentral:lncRNA from 1 species